rnacentral:rRNA from 1 species
AUUGAACGCUGGCGGCAUGCCUUACACAUGCAAGUCGAACGGCAGCACGGGAGCAAUCCUGGUGGCGAGUGGCGAACGGGUGAGUAAAGUAUCGGAACGUGCCCAGUCGUGGGGGAUAACGUAGCGAAAGUUACGCUAAUACCGCAUACGAUCUAUGGAUGAAAGCGGGGGAUCGCAAGACCUCGCGCGAUUGGAGCGGCCGAUAUCAGAUUAGGUAGUUGGUGGGGUAAAGGCUCACCAAGCCGACGAUCUGUAGCUGGUCUGAGAGGAUGACCAGCCACACUGGGACUGAGACACGGCCCAGACUCCUACGGGAGGCAGCAGUGGGGAAUUUUGGACAAUGGGCGAAAGCCUGAUCCAGCCAUGCCGCGUGCAGGAUGAAGGCCUUCGGGUUGUAAACUGCUUUUGUACGGAACGAAAAGGUUUGGCCUAAUAAGCUGAGCUCAUGACGGUACCGUAAGAAUAAGCACCGGCUAACUACGUGCCAGCAGCCGCCUAA